GAAUAGACGGGGACCCCGCACAAGUGNUGGAGCAUGUGGUUUAAUUCGAAGAUACGCGAAGAACCUUACCUGGCCUUGACAUUGAUAGAAUCUGCUAGAGAUAGCGGAGUGCCCUUCGGGGAGCUUGAAAACAGGUGCUGCACGGCUGUCGUCAGCUCGUGUCGUGAGAUGUUGGGUUAAGUCCCGCAACGAGCGCAACCCUCGUCACUAGUUACUAACGGUUCGGCCGAGGACUCUAGUGAGACUGCCUUCGUAAGGAGGAGGAAGGUGAGGACGACGUCAAGUCAUCAUGGCCCUUACGGCCAGGGCGACACACGUGCUACAAUGGGAUGUACAAUGAGACGCAAUACCGCGAGGUGGAGCAAAUCUAUAAAGCAUCUCUCAGUUCGGAUUGUAGUCUGCAACUCGACUACAUGAAGCUGGAAUCACUAGUAAUCGUAGAUCAGCCAUGCUACGGUGAAUACGUUCCCGGGUCUUGUACUCACCGCCCGUCACACCAUGGGAGUUGAUUUCACCCGAAGCGGGGAAGCUAAACUGGCUACCCUCCACGGUGGAAUCAGCGACUGG
rnacentral:rRNA from 1 species